UUUGACUUAGGAGAGAAAUGAGCUCAGCUGAUCCACCAUCUGUUACUAGGUUGGGAAUUGGAAAACACCGGACUUGGAUCACCGUCUUCAAUUGGAACAAGCAUACAUUGGAAGACUUUCUAAGACCUUUUGCUCAAGGGCAAACCUUAUUCUCAGAUUGGAUCAAGUUGAGAAGCCCAUGAAGUAUUGUCACCAAGCAUACAGGAGGAAAAAACAGUGAUUUUAUUUGCUGUUAUUGAAUGCCCUGAAUUUAAUUAAGUCCUCUCUUACACUUUCUCGCUUCUCUGAAGCCACUCAGAAGGGGAGACAGGUGGCAGGACGCACAAGGAAUUUUGCCGCACUGGGUUGAAAAGCAUCAUGAAAGCAUUUCAGGUUCUUUGGCAAGUGCCUCUGUUCCCUCCAAGGGCUCUGCUGACAGUCUUCUCUCCUGCUCCACUUGUCACACUGGGGGCUGCUGCUGUUACUCUGGGUGUGCCACACCAUACAGGGUGCCUCUGCUGCUCUGCAUUGCCUCUUUGGCCUUGUCGGAUGCCACAGACCAUGUCUGGUGUCUACUGCUGGUCUGCUAGAACCUCACCAGACUCCCUGGCCACACAUACAGUCUAAAUCCCAUUGUGAUGUUCUGUGCUGCCAAGUAUUGUGCUUUGGGAUCAAAGUGUUGAGAAGGACAGUGACUCUUUCAAAUGUCAUUCCAUUGGGGUCAACUCUAGUGAUUUCUCACUGUAUUUGACAGUUUAGUGCAAGAGCUCUCUCAGUUUUUAGAGUCAUACGUUUCCCUGUACACAUUCAUAGAGCUGGGGAGAGUGAGCAAUAGCCAAGACAUUGCUGAAAUCACAAUGUGGAACUCCUCAAGGCUAUGCAUGUACAUUAUUGCAAAGAAUAAGGCUUUGUUCCUCAUCCAUCCUCUGGUAGUCACAGCUUUAUUUUAAUUAGAGCUGUUUCCAUAAAGCUAGCAUAGAGAUAUGUGUCUGUCUACAGGACGAGUUCGUGAGAUGUGCCCAAAGCAAUGGUAAAUAAGGCUUGAGUUUUCUAGGAGGCAAUUCAGUCCUUCUGCAAAUAGAUCCUCACCUCUGCUGCUACAUUUGGUAUGCACUUUUACCUUGGCAUGCACCACGGUGCCCUGUGAUUAUUAAUUUACUUCCAUGUCUUGGUCUUCAUGUCUCUCUGUAGAUCUUUAAGGGCAGGGACAAUACAUUAUUCAACUUUAUUUAAAAAUUCUAACAUCUAUCCUAGUGUUAGAUACUGAGCAAACAUGCAGCAAAUGUGUCCUGUAUAAAUGAAACAAGUCAUAUUCCAAUUUUUUUGUUUUCCUCCUGGUUUUACUUAAUGAAACUCAUUGAACUAAAAAUAUCUAAUCUUUAUAUUCCUCCAGCAAACUAUGAGACUUAGUCCAUUUUAGAUUCUUAUUAAAAUUUACUGAAUUGCCUUUUUUGGUAUUCAUAAAUGUAUGAAAGUGACUUACCAAUUAGUGAUAAUUAUUAUUAAUUGCUUAUUAAUAGAUUAUAAUUGGAGCCCAGCACAUAUUGUUACAGGCCUUAUCAUAUUUCAGGCAACACUUCGAUUUUAAAACAAACAUUAAAAAAAAUUCUUAUUUGAUGACUCUGAGGAUAGACCUCCCACCAUAAGCCUUUAUCCAUGCUAGAGUGGAAUAGACAGAUGCAUUUCAUUUACAGCGUAAGAUAAAAUUGCUCUUUGAUAUUCAGUACUCUGUGUGGGGAAAGCCUUUUUUUUCUUUUCUGAAUUCCAGUAAUUGUCUUGUUUGUAGUCCCUUGCUGCAGACCUUUGCCUCCUGCCAACUGCUUGCCAGACGUGGUCUCAAUGUUAAGAAGGGAGAGGUUCCCAGAGAGCAUAAGAUAUAUAUUGAAAUCAAACAUUUUUCUAAAACUAUUGUUUUCCAAUUUCCACUAAAUCAUACCUUUUGUGACCCUUCUUACUCAGUGGAUUUCAAAACACUUAGCAAAAGAAUAACUAAAAUAAAAAGUCAUUACUCACAGAUGCUUUGCACACCUGAAGGGUAAAGUUGGUUUUUCUUUUGUGUGUUAUUUAUACCAAUGACACACCAUUUCUUUAUUAUUUUUGAGUUUCAUUCUUUAGGUUAACUGGCUCCACUUUGAUUUCUGCUGCUCAGCUAUGACACAACAAUUGAAUUUAAGUAUCAGCCUAUUACUUACUCUGUAUGUUUCAAAAUUCAAGGUCAGAAUAAAAAAUUAGAAAACAAAUG
rnacentral:lncRNA from 1 species